GACGAACGCUGGCGGCGUGCUUAACACAUGCAAGUCGAACGGAAAGGCCCCUUUGGGGGUCCUCGAGUGGCGAACGGGUGAGUAACACGUGAGUAACCUACCCUUGACUUCGGGAUAACUUAAGGAAACUGGGGCUAAUACCUGAUAGGAAUCCUUGCUUGAUGGGGGGGGUUGGAAAGCUUCGGCGGUUUUGGAUGGAAUCGCGGCUUAUCAGCUUGUUGGUGGGGUAGUGGCUUACCAAGGCUUUGACGGGUAGCCGGCCUGAGCGGGCGACCGGCCACAUUGGGACUGCGAUACGGCCCAGACUCCUACGGGAGGCAGCAGUGGGGAAUAUUGCACAAUGGGCGGAAGCCUGAUGCAGCAACGCCGCGUGCGGGAUGACGGCCUUCGGGUUGUAAACCGCUUUCAGCAGGGGCGAAGCUUGUGGUGACGGUACCUGCAGAAGAAGCACCGGCUAACUACGUG
rnacentral:rRNA from 1 species